GGGACCGUGGUGUAUCGGUAACGACGCCCACCCCCGACGUGUGAGGCGCGGGUUCGAACCCUGCCGAACUCC